rnacentral:rRNA from 1 species
CGUUCAACCGCAAAACAAGCAGAGGGGGCUUAGUGGUGGGGUGACUGCGUACCUUUUGUAUAAUGGGUCAGCGACUUAUAUUCUGUAGCAAGGUUAACCGUAUAGGGGAGCCGGAGGGAAACCGAGUCUUAAUUGGGCGUUAAGUUGCAGGGUAUAGACCCGAAACCCGGUGAUCUAGCCAUGGGCAGGUUGAAGGUUGGGUAACACUAACUGGAGGACCGAACCGACUAAUGUUGAAAAAUUAGCGGAUGACCUGUGGCUGGGGGUGAAAGGCCAAUCAAACCGGGAGAUAGCUGGUUCUCCCCGAAAGCUAUUUAGGUAGCGCCUCGUGAAUUCAUCUCCGGGGGUAGAGCACUGUUUCGGCUAGGGGGCCAUCCCGGCUUACCAACCCGAUGCAAACUGCGAAUACCGGAGAAUGUUAUCACGGGAGACACACGGCGGGUGCUAACGUCCGUCGUGAAGAGGGAAACAACCCAGACCGCCAGCUAAGGUCCCAAAGUCAUGGUUAAGUGGGAAACGAUGUGGGAAGGCCCAGACAGCCAGGAUGUUGGCUUAGAAGCAGCCAUCAUUUAAAGAAAGCGUAAUAGCUCACUGGUCGAGUCGGCCUGCGCGGAAGAUGUAACGGGGCUAAACCAUGCACCGAAGCUGCGGCAGCGAACGUAUCACUUAAAGCGAUUCAGCGGGUUACGAUUGACGGAGCGAAGCGACGUCAAAGCGUAUACAAAGUCGAGUCGGUUUAAGGAUACGUUCGUUGGGUAGGGGAGCGUUCUGUAAGCCUGCGAAGGUGGCCUGUGAGGGUUGCUGGAGGUAUCAGAAGUGCGAAUGCUGACAUAAGUAACGAUAAAGCGGGUGAAAAGCCCGCUCGCCGGAAGACCAAGGGUUCCUGUCCAACGUUAAUCGGGGCAGGGUGAGUCGACCCCUAAGGCGAGGCCGAAAGGCGUAGUCGAUGGGAAACGGGUUAAUAUUCCCGUACUUGGUGUUACUGCGAAGGGGGGACGGAGAAGGCUAUGUUGGCCGGGCGACGGUUGUCCCGGUUUAAGCGUGUAGGCUGGUUUUCCAGGCAAAUCCGGAAAAUCAAGGCUGAGGCGUGACGACGAGGCACUACGGUGCUGAAGCAACAAAUGCCCUGCUUCCAGGAAAAGCCUCUAAGCAUCAGGUAACACGAAAUCGUACCCCAAACCGACACAGGUGGUCAGGUAGAGAAUACCAAGGCGCUUGAGAGAACUCGGGUGAAGGAACUAGGCAAAAUGGUGCCGUAACUUCGGGAGAAGGCACGCUGACACGUAGGUGAAGUGAUUUACUCAUGGAGCUGAAGUCAGUCGAAGAUACCAGCUGGCUGCAACUGUUUAUUAAAAACACAGCACUGUGCAAACACGAAAGUGGACGUAUACGGUGUGACGCCUGCCCGGUGCCGGAAGGUUAAUUGAUGGGGUCAGCGCAAGCGAAGCUCCUGAUCGAAGCCCCGGUAAACGGCGGCCGUAACUAUAACGGUCCUAAGGUAGCGAAAUUCCUUGUCGGGUAAGUUCCGACCUGCACGAAUGGCGUAAUGAUGGCCAGGCUGUCUCCACCCGAGACUCAGUGAAAUUGAACUCGCUGUGAAGAUGCAGUGUACCCGCGGCAAGACGGAAAGACCCCGUGAACCUUUACUAUAGCUUGACACUGAACAUUGAGCCUUGAUGUGUAGGAUAGGUGGGAGGCUUUGAAGCGUGGACGCCAGUCUGCGUGGAGCCGACCUUGAAAUACCACCCUUUAAUGUUUGAUGUUCUAACGU